CAACCCAAUGAGCGCAGGCCCCAAAGCGGCCCCCGCUUGUCAUUGGCUGGCAGCAGAGGCGUAGCCUGGAGCGUCACCGCCAAAGCUCUUCCCGGUACUGGCUGUGCAGUGAGGCUGGAUGGAGUCUCGGUUACCAGCUUGGUGUUGGUUCCUGCGGGUGAAAUUCCUGAGUCCUGACCCUAAGAAAACUUCCUUGCUGGCUCCUGUGAGCCACCCGGGCGUCUAUGUGACCUCAGACCGGAGGUUCACGGGAGACGAGGAGAAAAACUGGCUUGACGUUGAAACCCAGUAACCUGAAAAGAGGCCACACAGAUAGCCUCCUCUUAACAGCAGCCCUUGCCUGGACCCUUCCCCACCUCCACCUACCACCCUUUGUCCUGAGGGCGGUUCCGAAGGACGCAAGCGACUAAGUGGAGAUCGGUGACGAAAACGGCGGCCCAAGCUGCCAAAUACGCAGUUCGGAUUCUCCUUAACAGCGGGCAGCCUGCCUUUGGAAUGAUGAGAUGAAAAAAGUUGUGGCUUGCUCUUGCUGACAUGUACAAUUUCCAAACAUGGAAAGACUAACCCCAAUUGAGAACUAUGACUAGAGGAACCAAGGGACUGCUCUGAAUUUAAUCAUAUCAACAGGAGAAUGGAUUUGUAAUGAAGACAUACAGAGAACUUUGGGAGGAAAUGACCUGUUAUCCUGAAAAUUCUGUUAUCUAAGAAAUGGAAAGCAAGAUAUUUAA